AAUGCACAGGCAGCGAGAACUCCUGCAUGAAGGCUUCUGGAGAAGUAGGAAGGCUUAGAAUGUCGCUCACUCAUCUUUCACUUCCUGUAGCAACUGUUUCGUGCUCUUAAGUCUGGUGCGUCCAUGUCUGUCUGCACCUGGAUGGCAUCGCCUCUCCAUCUCGAGGACGCCAUCUGGAGGGGGCAGGGCAGGGUGGCUGAUCCCCUGCAGGCCCCAGCCCUGUGACUCAGCCACCAAAGCCCAAUCUCCAGCCCAAGGGAACCAAGGGUAUCUUCUUCAUCAUCCUUCCAGUCCUCUUCCCCUUCGCCGGGCUCCAGCCUCAGCUUGGCCCUCACCUCCACUCCUCUCCCCUCUCACCCCUGCCCCCAUUCCACUUCAUCUCCCUCCCUCACCUUAGGGCACCUCUGCCUGCUCCUUAUGCUGGAGUUGAUUUUCUACAAUCUCAACUCAGCCAAGAGAUCUCAUCACCUAAAAAAGUGAUGUGAACCUUAAGAUCACAUAUGUCAUAUGGGGGUGAAGGUGGGGGUGGGAGGCACUAAGGGCAGGGCAGCAGGUGGGUCAGCCCCAGGUGCUGGCAAUAGAUGGGGGUCCAGGUCAGCAGAGAACCUAAAAACAAUAAAGCAACUGAUUAGCCCGUC